rnacentral:sRNA from 1 species
GCUGGGUGCAGUGGCAUACACCUGUAAUCCCAGCAGCUCUGGAGGUUGAGGCAGGAGGAUUGUGAGUUCAAAGCCAGCCUCAGCAAUUUAGCAGAGCCCCGAGCAAUUCAGCAAGACCCGGUCUCUA